GGGCAGUUAGCUCAGCGGUAGAGCAAUCGCCUUACACGCGAUGGGUCACAGGUUCGAAUCCUGUACUGCCCACCA
rnacentral:tRNA from 1 species